CAAUAUGUUAAUUUCCGAUGGUUGCGCCAUACUUUUAACCACGUUGACGGGACUCUCGCUGCGUACAAAACGGCGUUCUACUUGCGGCCCAAUUUUUGACAUCGGUGAAGGCUGAAAAUCAUUUGAAGGUGGAAGACAAUUUGAUAUUUCUUCAAAGGAACCCAGCACCUCAAUAUGAGUUGAGUAAAUUUGAUUUAAUAUUGAUACUGCUUAGUGUUCUUUGUUACUUCACCUUUUGUACGUUCUAAAUGUAUGCUGUCAUUAAUUGCCACAGAAGUUAAACCCUACCAAAUAGAAUGACGUAAAUCAACGACUUUGGUGCAGAGUUACCAACUGGAUAAUAUCAAAGCUAAAAUAAUGGCCGUCAUUUCCACAUGUUACAGUAGAAGAUACUCUAGAACUGUAGAAGGUUAAAAAGGUAACAUGUAGUUUGUCCCAUGGUGUCUGCCUCCUCACCCAGAGCAAGACCUCCACCUCCUUACCCAGAGCCAGACCUCCACCUCCUGUCAGAAGUCCUCCAGAACAGCUCAAAGGUGAGGCUGAGAGGCUUGGGACCGGAGGCUUGUGGUGCCAGGAUGGACCGGAGACUGAGGCUGGAGACCAGGGGCCUGCAGCACCGGACCAGAGGACCAGGAAUCCAUGGCUGAAGGAGCUGAUGGAGGAGCUGUGCUGAAGGCCCUGCCUGGUGGAGGAGCUGAUGGAGGCCCUGCCUUGUGGAGGAGCCGUGCUGAAGGCCCUGCCUGGUGGAGGAGCUGACGGAGGCCCUGCCUGGUGGAGGAUCCGUGCUGAAGGCCCUGCCUGGUGGAGGAGCUGAUGGAGGCCCUGCCUGGUGGAGGAGCCGUGCUGACGGCCCUGCCUGGUGGAGGAUCCGUGCUGACGGCCCUGCCUGGUGGAGGAUGUCUGUCGUGGGACCAGGACUCUGUCUGAGGAGAGCAGAUGGAGGAGCUGAGACGCUGGAGGACAACUAGGAAUCGACCAACAAGGAUUCCUCAACGUGUUUCUGGAGCGGAGGCCAGCUGGUAGGGGAGCCGUGAAUCUGGAGGAUGACCAUCACUCUACCAACAAGGAUUACUUUAGGGCCAGACUCGCGCUGUUUGUUCCAGACCAGGACUCUGGCUGAGGAGAGCUGACGGAGGAGCCAAGACUCUGGAGGUCGACAUCACUCCACCAACCAGGAUCCUCAGACGAAUUACGUUUGUAACCAGACCAGGAAUCUGGAGGACUGAUGGAGAAGCCGUACAUCUGGAAGGCAAAUCCUGAGGACCAGCAGGACUCUACCAUCAAGGAUUCCUCAUAAGUUUGCAUUAUCUGGACAUAGUGGACUAGACACACCUGAGCUGAACCUCACCUGAUCCUGUUUGGUCGGGGGCAGACGCACCUGAGCUAAACCCACCCUGAUCCUGACAUCCUGCUGGUCCCGUCUCAGUUCUCCUGAGCCUCGUCCUCCAGAAGACCUGCUGAGCUCAGCAGUCUGAGGCUGAUGGAUCAAUGACCUCCAGUGGGAGGGAUCUUCUUGACCCCACUUGUAACCGUGUGCUUCCACACGCCUUUCCCUCACGUCUGUCACUAACUUCACUACUCUCUACUGCUUCCUCUUUUCUUCCUUCUCUGUGGUUUAAACCUUUACACUGAAGGCGCGUCUUCCUGCCCUCAGAGGGUUUAGCGUUAGGGUUGAGAGUCAGGGUUUAGAGUCAGGGACAGAGCUGGUCAGGGAGGACUGCUUUUACACAAACCUCUUGACUUGCUUUCGGAAUGGUGGUGACAUUUUGAAAAGAUUCAUUUGGUAAAAUCUUUUCCUCUGCUUCCCUUUACAAAAUUGUAUCAAACUUCUGUCAAGUGUUUUUGUUUAAAUAUUAAAAUCCCACAUUGACUUCUA